CAAGCGGGCAAGGCAAUCACUCUUUCUUUUUCUUUCUCAACGAGAAGAAGGGAAAGAGAGGAAAGUCCGAACGCCCUCCUUUAAUUUUGAAAGUAUCUAUUUCUGCUUUUCAAAAUUAAAGGAUAAAAAAAUAGCGGAUAACAUCCGCCGCCAGCAAUGGCCGAGGUGCGAACAGAGACGCCAAACCCGAAAGGGUAAGGUACCCUAAAAAUAAUAAAGGGUAAGUCCCGUUGAAAAACGGGGGUGAAACGGCUAAAUCCUUAUUGGGCGCAAGAAGAAACUUUUUGGGCAAUCUCCGGAUUUGCCUAAAAAGAAAAGUGCUUCGCUAGAUCCUUUAAGCAAUUAAGGGACCAGAUAAAUGAUUGCCCCUCUUUUUGUUCUUAAAUGGCAAAAGAGGACAGAAUUCGGCUUAUCAGCCCACUUGGGUU
rnacentral:RNase_P_RNA from 1 species